rnacentral:rRNA from 1 species
ACAUGCAAGUCGAACGAACUCUGGUAUUGAUUGGUGCUUGCAUCAUGAUUUACAUUUGAGUGAGUGGCGAACUGGUGAGUAACACGUGGGAAACCUGCCCAGAAGCGGGGGAUAACACCUGGAAACAGAUGCUAAUACCGCAUAACAACUUGGACCGCAUGGUCCGAGUUUGAAAGAUGGCUUCGGCUAUCACUUUUGGAUGGUCCCGCGGCGUAUUAGCUAGAUGGUGGGGUAACGGCUCACCAUGGCAAUGAUACGUAGCCGACCUGAGAGGGUAAUCGGCCACAUUGGGACUGAGACACGGCCCAAACUCCUACGGGAGGCAGCAGUAGGGAAUCUUCCACAAUGGACGAAAGUCUGAUGGAGCAACGCCGCGUGAGUGAAGAAGGGUUUCGGCUCGUAAAACUCUGUUGUUAAAGAAGAACAUAUCUGAGAGUAACUGUUCAGGUAUUGACGGUAUUUAACCAGAAAGCCACGGCUAACUACGUGCCAGCAGCCGCGGUAAUACGUAGGUGGCAAGCGUUGUCCGGAUUUAUUGGGCGUAAAGCGAGCGCAGGCGGUUUUUUAAGUCUGAUGUGAAAGCCUUCGGCUCAACCGAAGAAGUGCAUCGGAAACUGGGAAACUUGAGUGCAGAAGAGGACAGUGGAACUCCAUGUGUAGCGGUGAAAUGCGUAGAUAUAUGGAAGAACACCAGUGGCGAAGGCGGCUGUCUGGUCUGUAACUGACGCUGAGGCUCGAAAGUAUGGGUAGCAAACAGGAUUAGAUACCCUGGUAGUCCAUACCGUAAACGAUGAAUGCUAAGUGUUGGAGGGUUUCCGCCCUUCAGUGCUGCAGCUAACGCAUUAAGCAUUCCGCCUGGGGAGUACGGCCGCAAGGCUGAAACUCAAAGGAAUUGACGGGGGCCCGCACAAGCGGUGGAGCAUGUGGUUUAAUUCGAAGCUACGCGAAGAACCUUACCAGGUCUUGACAUACUAUGCAAAUCUAAGAGAUUAGACGUUCCCUUCGGGGACAUGGAUACAGGUGGUGCAUGGUUGUCGUCAGCUCGUGUCGUGAGAUGUUGGGUUAAGUCCCGCAACGAGCGCAACCCUUAUUAUCAGUUGCCAGCAUUAAGUUGGGCACUCUGGUGAGACUGCCGGUGACAAACCGGAGGAAGGUGGGGAUGACGUCAAAUCAUCAUGCCCCUUAUGACCUGGGCUACACACGUGCUACAAUGGAUGGUACAACGAGUUGCGAACUCGCGAGAGUAAGCUAAUCUCUUAAAGCCAUUCUCAGUUCGGAUUGUAGGCUGCAACUCGCCUACAUGAAGUCGGAAUCGCUAGUAAUCGCGGAUCAGCAUGCCGCGGUGAAUACGUUCCCGGGCCUUGUACACACCGCCCGUCACACCAUGAGAGUUUGUAACACCCAAAGUCGGUGGGGUAACCUUUUAGGAACCAG